rnacentral:rRNA from 2 species
UGAGGAAUAUUGGUCAAUGGGCGCAAGCCUGAACCAGCCAUCCCGCGUGAAGGAAGAAGGCGCUAUGCGUUGUAAACUUCUUUUCCAGGGGAAUAAAAUUCUGUACGUGUACGGAAUUGAAGGUACCCUGGGAAUAAGCAUCGGCUAACUCCGUGCCAGCAGCCGCGGUAAUACGGAGGAUGCAAGCGUUAUCCGGAUUUAUUGGGUUUAAAGGGUGCGCAGGCGGAGUAGUAAGUCAGUGGUGAAAACCUGCAGCUUAACUGUAGAAUUGCCGUUGAUACUGCUGCUCUUGAGUAUGGUCAAGGUAGGCGGAAUGUGUAAUGUAGCGGUGAAAUGCUUAGAUAUUACACAGAACACCGAUUGCGAAGGCAGCUUGCUGGGCCAUUACUGACGCUCAUGCACGAAAGCGUGGGGAUCGAACAGG